rnacentral:rRNA from 1 species
ACGAACUGUGCAAACGUUAUUCGGAAUUACUGGGCUUAAAGAGUUCGUAGGCGGCCUUGUAAGUCGGGUGUGAAAGCCCCCAGCUCAACUGGGGAACUGCGCUCGAAACUGUAGGGCUUGAGGGAGAUAGAGGUGAGCGGAACUGAUGGUGUAGCGGUGAAAUGCUUUGAUACUAUCAGGAACACCGGUUGCGAAGGCGGCUAACUGGAUCUCUUCUGACGCUGAGUAACGAAAGCUAGGGGCGCGAACGG